GUAACGCGUAUACAACCUACCUUCAAGCGGGGGAUAGCCCAUGGAAACGUGGAUUAAUACCUCAUGGUAUAUAGACUUCACCUGGAGACUAUAUUAAACAUUUAUGGCUUGAAGAUGGGUAUGCGUCCUAUUAGCUAGAUGGAGUGGUAACGGCACCCCAUGGCAACGAUAGGUAGGGGUCCUGAGAGGGAGAUCCCCCACACUGGUACUGAGACACGGACCAGACUCCUACGGGAGGCAGCAGUGAGGAAUAUUGGACAAUGGAGGCAACUCUGAUCCAGCCAUGCCGCGUGCAGGAAGACUGCCCUAUGGGUUGUAAACUGCUUUUAUACAGGAAGAAACCUCUCCACGUGUGGGGAGCUGACGGUACUGUAUGAAUAAGGAUCGGCUAACUCCGUGCCAGCAGCCGCGGUAAUACGGAGGAUCCAAGCGUUAUCCGGAAUCAUUGGGUUUAAAGGGUCCGUAGGCGGGUCUAUAAGUCAGUGGUGAAAGUCUGUCGCUCAACGAUAGAAUUGCCAUUGAUACUGUAGAUCUUGAAUUAUUAUGAAGUGGUUGGAAUGAGUAGUGUAGCGGUGAAAUGCAUAGAUAUUACUCAGAACACCUAUUGCGAAGGCAGAUCACUAAUACUAUAUUGACGCUGAUGGACGAAAGCGUAGGUAGCGAACAGGAUUAGAUACCCUGGUAGUCUACGCCGUAAACGAUGGUCACUAGCUGUCCGGCCUAAUUUGAGGGCUGG
rnacentral:rRNA from 1 species